rnacentral:tRNA from 1 species
GCAAUCGUAGCGUAAUGGUAACGCAUCUGGCGAAUAAACUAGAUUUUGCGGGUUCGAUUCCUGCCGGUUGCA